AUCUCCAAGGAUCAAUAUACUAAAUGGAGUCAAAUCAGCUCAGCUGCCAGGGAAACAACUCUUUCUAUUGCUACAGAUAAUGGUUUCCAACCCUAAAGCGAGCGCAGGUGUAUUGUCUCUGAAAUAAGAGAAUAUCAUUUCUACUCAUGCGAUGGACAUAAAAUACUAGUACGACUUUCUAAACUGAAGAUACCAGAAAGAGCCAACAGAGAUCAAGAGUGUUACAUAUCCAGCCAUCUGUCAAGAAUAUCAUAUCUUUCUCGUGCCUGACAUCCUUACCAACCAAGAAACAGUCUGCGCUAUGAAGAAUGAGGGAGAAAUGAAAGUCUUUGGCAGAUAUUCAGACCAGAUGUGACCAUUAAAAUAAUCGUUUCCUUAACCUUGACCUGCACACACCGUUGAGGACAUGGGAGCGAUGGACAGAUAACGCGCUGCCACAACUGCAAGACUCAUUGUUAAGUUUUAUGGAAAUUUCAAACCCUGCCAUGCUCUUUAACCAGCUUCGGCCUCCUGAAGGUGGCUUAAACAGGGUAAAUAAGAUACCCAAAAUAAUCCAUGUUGGUCUCUUGUAAGUGCUGCGCUGCCUAUUCGCCAACUGGACUGAACUACAGAUUGUGAUCUUCCCAGGAAUUUUAUGUACCAUGGCCUUUGUUUUGGUGCUUUUGUGCCAAUAUUUUCAUGAUUUGUAUUAUUUCCUUGUUUUUCUAAAAAUGUUUUUUUUAAAAAUAGAUUACAAAAAAAAAGCCAUUAUGUUGGUAGACUUUGUAAAAUAAUGAAAGGAGGUAAUGUAACCAUAUCCCCAUAUACUUACAGUGAUCAUCUUGCAUCUGAAUGUACCAAGGUAGA